CAUUACAGCAGACUUCGGUGGAGAAGCUGAAGACACAAGUAAGGAUACGAUUAUGUUGACUUUCGCAGGAGGAGUCUGAACAGCUGGAGGCCCAGUGGCUUGUCUGCUAGCUCUUUAUGAUGAGCUGCCAUAUCAGAAACUGAAGCUCCGGGGAUGUCUUGUUAACCUUUCAUUAACAGAACUGGGGCACUGGUACCUGCCAAGUUCUCCCUCAGGCCACAGAGUGGAAGUUUGUCUCCAGGAGAUACCUCACAAGCUGGAAUUAAUGCCACAGUUGCUCAUUGAUCCUUAACACAGUUUUAGCCAUGAGACAAGACAUCCGGUGUGAUUUCAGCAAGCCCAUAUGGUUCUCGAAUACUUUUCCCAAGAAAGGAAGAUCAAGAAAACGGAAGAGAGAAGAAGAGGCGACGUGUACAGAAAAAUAUGUGACUGUCUAAUAACACCAAACAGUUGUUUAUUUUUAGUGUUCUUCAUCUCAGAUGAUGAAGCUAUUGAACACCAAACUGUACAGUCAGAAAAAAUGAGAUGGAUGAAUUGUUUGCAUCCGUCAGACAAACUCCAACAGAGAAAGAGAUGGACCAACUCUAUCUUCAACACUGCCAGCACUGCCACCUGCAGAGAUUACUGCCUCCUGAAUGGGAAGAAUCCCUUCCUGCCAGAAUCUGGGACACAGGUGCAAAGGCUUGGUAUGUACUGAAGUUGUUUAUUCUUUGUUCAAAGUGGAAUUGUAACUGUUA
rnacentral:lncRNA from 1 species